GGUGAGCCAAAAUUGCGCCACUGCCCUCCAAACUGGGUGACAGAGGGAGACUCUGUCUCAAAAAACAAAAAACCAAACAAAACAAGAAAAACGGCCAAGAUUUAGUAAAUGUAUACACUAGGGACUCAUAUCUGGGAUAUAUGCAAUAUGCACCUGUUUAUGGUAGAAAUUUUUUUUACCUAACAAGAAACAAUACAAUCAUCUUUCUUUUUCAACUUGCUAACUAAAUCAUAAUUUUCUUAGGCUUAGCGAAUGCUCAUUUAGUAGUUGUGGCAUCCUGCAUCUGGGCUUCUAGGCUUUGAAUUCGAAAAUCUGAGACGGGUUGCUGCCUUUGGUAUUUAUUAGUUCCAUGACCUUCGGUGAUUUCUUUAAUCUGCCUGAGGCUCAGUAUCUUCAUCCACAAAAAGGGAGCACUGGUGUCCACUUGAGAGGGCCCCAAAGGGUGGAAAUUUAAUGACAUAAUAAUUGCAAGUGUUCUUUUCAAACUGUGAUAUGUUAUAUAAACAUCAGAUAGUGUUACUAUUAACAUUGAUGUCAUAUCAGAUUAACCAUGGUCUCCAAAAGAUUCAAUACUCAUGGUUUCAUUACUAAAUAAACUUUUAAACUAAAACCAAAAUACUUUCAAAAAUAAAUUGUGUUAAUUAUUACCACCAUAAUACUGAAAGUUUUAUGGAAGUAUUUCCUGCGUAAAGCACACUGUUGUAUGUUAAAAUGUUCUCCUGGUGUACUUUCUUACUAUGUGUAACUUAAAAACUAGUUCUAGACUAUCAAGAUAGAAUUUUAUUAUAAAAUUACUGCUUAAUAUGACACCUUCUUCUAAUUUUAUUGUGCCAAGAUUUUGUGCAAAAGUUGCACAGGCAGAUAGUUUCAUUUUUUUUUCCUUUGGGUUUUCAAUAUGUACUCUAACAAAGGAAAGAUGAAAGAACCGAGGGAGAAGAUCUGGCAUUUAUAAACACACACUCCCUCCCACUCACAUAGCCACUCUUAAAAGUUAUAAAGGAUCUGUUGAAUUUGGGGGAUACCUUGAAGAACUUCAAGCUGUCACCAUUUCACUACCCCAUGCGGUUUGAGCAAAUGAGCAGCCUUGAACUUUUACGCAGAGAUGCAAGGCCUGGGCAGAAGGCAGUGCAUCUGCAGGUCCCUGCAUGACUAAUUUCCUGUCAGCAAGUGAUUUUAUUAUCAUUUAAAUAAGAACCUAUAAUAAUAGCUGUAAACUUGGCAGAUGGCUGAAUUGGUAAAUUUUAAAGGAGAUAGGUUUAAAAUACUUCUGUGCUUCCUCCUUCAAUGCCUUCCCGACUCCUUAAGCCCCGUGGCAAUCAACUAUUUUGGUUACCACUUUGGAUUUAACCACUGUGUUCGUUCCUGUCGAUUAAAGGGACUUCAGUAACAUGAUACUGGGAUGGCUGUUUAAGCAGAGGACACGCCGUGUUUCACUGUUUCUUAUUUACCUUGGGCAUGGGGGAAGUCCAAUUAUUGGUAGGUAUUUCCCUUUUCUUCUAAUAAUUUCUGCAUGAAUUUUCUUUUCUUUGUCUCUUCACUCAACACUUGAGAGGAAAGGAAAAGUACCUGAAGUUCUUAGUUCAUAUUUCUCAUGUAAAGUUAAAAUAAUGCAUAAAAAGAACUAUUGUGUAUUCAGUUCUCAUGUUCCCUUUCCUUAGUCAACACAGCCUUAUCAAUACAGCAGUAAGUGUGGACAGUCUAAAGCACAGGAGAGAUCACUAAUACUGCAGCCAAUUUUCUUUCCUAAAAAGUACAGGCACAAAAGUAAUUCAUAUCAGAUGAGGUCUUACAAAUAUUAAACACCAUUAUGUCAAGCAAAUGCUGCUAAAUAUAAAACAAAAUAUUGAUUCUAUUACAUAAUAUAGUUAUGGUUAACAAAAUAAAUCUAAUAGGGAAUUUUAAACUACCGAUUUAGCUUAAUUAAAAGGUACAAUUUCCUCAAUCCUGAUUAAAUAACAGUAAAAGCAUAGACUGAAUCCACUCCCUCUGAGAUUUUUAAAAGAAUGUUUGAGAAAGCUUAAUGUUGGAGUUAUAAUUACACAACAGUAAUCGGUUUAUUCCUUUGACUUAAGAUAUUAAGAUCACUACUAACCAAAGUUCAUUAAUUGAAAGCUUGGAGACAAAGUACCUUUUUAUUUCAGACAGAGUCUAGCACUGUCACCUGGGCUGGAGUACAGUGGCAUGAUCUCGGCUCACUGCAACCUCUGCCCCCUGGGUUCAAGCAAUUCUCCUGCCUCAGCCUCCUGAGUAGCUGGGACCACAGGUGCCACCACCACGCCUGGCUAAUUUUUUGUAUUUUUAGUAGAGACGGGGUUUCACCAUGUUGGCCAGGUUGGUCUUGAACUCCUGACCUCGUGAUUUGCUCGCCUCGCUUCCUAAAGUGCUGGGAUUACAGGGGUGAGCCACCGCACCCGGCCCAAAGUAACUUUUAAUGGUAUCUGGCAAACAUAUGUGUGAAGAUAGUAGUAUUUAAUGUAGACUAGCAGUGCUAGCUUGGGGAAUUAGUAUUUAUGCACGGCCUUACUAAGCUUUCUUAGCAGGUAUCUCCAUGCUUAGAAAAGUCAACUUGCAACCCGUCUGUAAGACAACACAUUUGUCACUAGUUCAGUACUUGUCAAGUGGGAUGUAUAUUCUCAGAGGUCAAUAGUGGCUUAUAGGAGAUUUAGAUGUGUCUCUUGGCACUAAUCAGCUACAAACAUCACUCUCAUCCAAUUCACAGCUUGAACUUCCUUACCUACCAAUAUCUGUGUUGGCUGCCUGAAAAGCAAACUGUUGAGCGACAGAUUUAAGAAUAGAUUAUUGACUUGGUUCCAUUCAGUCUUGUCCCAGAUGUGAUCUCUAUUAAACAUUUUGGUGAUUAGGCCUUAUUCCUAUUUUGCUUUUUUUGUUUUUCUGCUUUUGUGAUUCCACUGUCAAUUAGUGUUGUGAUUCUCAUUUCCUUUUUCUCUAAAAUCUGCAAAUUUAUUUGUUAAUGUACUGUACUUAGUGUACUGUUUAGGCAGGAUUACAACUAAUUUGUGAACUAACAGGAAAAUCGAUGAAAAAAGAAAGACCAAAAGAAAAUGGUUCCUUGGGGAAAUGUCACAAUUGGAUGAUUAUUUUAUUUGUUCCUGAUUUUUUCCUUUUCUGCACAUACAUGAUUAUAUAAUUGUUUCAGUUAUAUGAAACAAAAAUUAGAUGUGGAGGAAAACUCUAAAUGGGGAACUCUAAUGUUCUUUUAAAGUGAAGAAUUUAACGAAAACACUCAAAACUCCCCUGCUGGGCUCAAGCAGGUUGAAAUUAAUUCAAGACGGCAGAUAAAAUUUUUAACCAGGCCGAGUGGAGAUGACGGAUGUGACAGCUCUCGGUUAAAAUGUCUUUUAGUGGCGAAUGCGUGCGUAUUAGUCAAGGAUGUGACAUAACUGUCCCGGGUGAGAGAAAAUGAACCAAUGACCAUUUGCAUUGAGAACAAAAGAAAAAUUCUUUAUAGUACAAUGUAAAGAAAGACAGGUAACUUGAGGUUUCAUAUUUAUUUGGUUGUGUUUGAGAAUAUUUUUGGGAAUCUUUUUACCUCAAGAAAACCUCUGAAAGUUAACAUAAACAUAUUUUUUUAAAGCAGUGAUUCUUUUCUUUCUUCUCUACAUAUCAGAAAAUGAAUGUUGAGCCAAACGCCUGUGCCCAGGAAAGUCAGGUAAACUUUUUUGUUUCCUCCUGCGAAGAACAACAGAAAAGUAUCUAUAGAUGGUCAUACUUCAAAAGUUGUGCAAAAAAAGCCUUACCCACCGAAAACUCAGUUUCAAAUUUGACUAUGUGAAUAAAAUAUUGGAAUGAGAAUCCCUUUUUUUGUUACAGGAACACUGGCUCCCUACUUUUCCUCUUUCUGAUAAUAAGACAAUUUGGUUGUGUAUUAUAAAGCAAAGCAAAUAGAACAAAAAUGGAUGUGAUUCUAUGGCAGAAUGUUACAGGGAAGGGAAAUUAUUUGGAAAUUACAAUUGGCAGGAUUUGACCAUGUGAAAGUCAAGUUUAAUUAACUUUAAGAACAGAUGCUUUCAAGACAUAGCAGUUACCAGUUAGAGCUACAAGUAUAAUUGAGUUUUAUAGUAUAGGGUUUAUUUUUCCAAUUAAAUUCAAAUUGCAUUAUCAUAAUUUUGUUAUUAGAAUAUGUAACACUCAGGCUUAAAAAGGGUACUCAAAUGUAGAACUAGAUCUUGUCCUCUUUUGAUCAAAAGAAUGGACAAGGAUGUAUUUUAGUCUCAAGAUUAAAUGCAAUUUCCACUUUAGAAGGUAGUUGUUAUUUCCUUUAAUAAUGUAUCCUCCCCAAAAUGGUAUAUGAGAACAUAAAAAUUUACUGCAACAUUAGAGCCAAAAAUAGAAUACAAAUAUUUGUAUACAAAUAUUCAGUGAUGCUAAGUGGAUUCAGAAAAUGCUACCAAAAUAAAAUAAUUAUUUAUCUAGGUCUUCAGUGAUGAAUAGGAAUCCCUUACUUAAGGGAGAUUAAGUUUAUGUAAGGCAAGGUAAAUGGAGAAGUAAGUUUUUCUCUUGUAUUUUGGCCUUUUCUUGUGUCUCUUUUCUGGAGUUAUCAAGGUUUCUCUCAUUCAAUGCUUUGUGCAUCUUCUCUGUGAAUCUACAGUGUAAUUCUAUGUGGACAGACAGCUCUCUGUGAACAUACACUUUUUGACAGACUACAACUUUGAUUUGCUGUUCAGGUUUUGACUAUAUUCACAUUAUGGCGUAAGUAUUUUAUUUCAUAGUCAUUACCAAGUGCGCAACACAUUUUUACAUCAGAGAAAAAUACAUUUUAUUUACUUUCCAUGCCCAGCUCAACAAAAAAUGGUGUUUUCUUCUAUGUCUUGCAUUAAAAAUUGCAUUUGCAAUUGGCAUAUUUAGAUGAUGCUGAAGAAAUUAAACAAUAUCAAUUGCACCUUUUCACAGUGUGUACAUGUAAAAUUUGUCAGUGCAUACAUGAAAAUACUCUUGGUUUUCUUGGAAUUGCUUCCAUUUAAAUUCUAUCCUUUUGAUUUUUUUCAGUGCAAUGCCUUUGCAAAUUUCCAGUAUACACUUUCUACUACUAUAACUUUAGUACAGUCCUCAGUUUUACUACAUUACUUGAAAACAUGCAUUUUAUACAAUCUCCUGCUCUUUUGCUUUUGAUUUUCUGGGCAUAUGCCUGUCACUCUUUGUACUCAUUCAGUAGAGUACAUUUAUGCUACAACUAGGGGAUACCUGUUCACAGCUGUAGAUUAUUCAGAAUCUUCUUGAUACUGAUAAUAUCUUCUUAUUUACAGUUUGCUGGUAUACUGAGAAAAUGCGGUGGAAUAGCUUUAACAGAAGUACAAUAAGAAAAACUUCUACCCACAAGCAGCACUCAGCACUUGCUUCUGUGCCCAGUGACCGACAACCACUAAUCUACUUAAUGUAUGGAACUGCCAAUUCUGGACCUUUUAUAUAAAUGGAAUUGUUUAAGAUGUGGUCUUUCGGUCUGUCUUGUUUCACAUAGUAUAAGUACAUUGAUCUGUAGUCUUCAUUUCUUUUGAUGUCUUUGUCUAGUUUUAUUAAAUGAGUUGAAAAAUGCUUCUUCUUCCAGUUUUUGGAAGAGUUUGUAAAGAAUUUGUGUUAAAUCUCCUUUAAACAUUUGAUAGACUUUUCCAAUGAUGCUGCCUGGGGCCAGGGAUUUUCUUUGCAGGAAGUUGUUUUGGUUAUGAAUUCAGUAUCUUUACUUGUUAUAUGUCUAUUCUGAUUCUUUAUUUUUUCUUGUUUCAUGUUCGAUGGAUUGUAUCUUUCUUAGAAUAUGUUCCAUGAAUGAAAUAUGACCAUUCAGUGAACUGAAAAAGGCAAACCCUUUUCCUUCACCAUUUUCCCAUGUAUUUUGUGGUCGAGAUCAUUCUUUGUAGUUCCCAUUGUGACGGUACCACAACCAAAAUGAGCCUUGAGAAGUACGUAAUUUCUAAAAUUUAAUUUAUCUUUAUGAAUUUUCAACCAUUGGUGAAUAGAGAAAGAUAUUUUAUUUUGCCACAGUUGACUUCCUAGUCCCUGAUAGCAAAAAUGAGAGAAAGCCAGACUGGAAAAAGUUGUCUCUUUACUAAAAUAAUGAAAGAAGUAGCCCCCACUCCUUCCUUCGAAAUAAUGAUCUACAACAACACACAGAAGGUCAGAGCUACACUGUCAUGGUAUAAACGACAUCUAAGUUAAAUCCGUAUAUCCUGUCUUGGAUGAAACUUGAUAUGAUUCAAUCCAACCCUCCGUCUAAUAAUGAUCCUUUGACAUUUCUAUUUUAUAAUCGGGUGAUAGCCCUUUAAUUUUCUUGAAUGUUUACUACAACAAAACAGUCACCUCUGAUAAACCAAUCUAUUCUAUUAUUAGAUAAGUCUAAAAUUUAGGAGAAUCUUUCUUAUUUGAAGUAGAAAACGAUCUCCUUUGUAUACACGUUUAGUUUUGGCUCUGUCAAUAUGAGCAGCAUAGAACAAGCUUACUUCAUCUGCUACUUCACAGCCCUUCAGAUAUCAGAAAGAGCAUUUUCUUCUUAGUAGACUGGUAACAGAACCAUAAUGGGAUCAAACUGAAAAAAAAAAUUAUGAGAACAUAAUCCACACUAAUAAUAAUCCCUUAAAGAACUUCCACUUGAAAAAAUACACGUAAUUUAAUGUAUCUCCUAUCCAUUUCUAAACAUGGGUUUUUCUUUCUUAGUAUGAAGUUAAAAAAUUAUCAAUAAUAAAUAUGUACAGAGGAAAAAAACAGGCAAUGAGGUAUGUUUAGCAAAAAUCAAAGUGUUGAUUUUAAAAUGGCUUGUUUUUAGAUGCUGGUGAGGCUGUGAAGAAAAGGGAACGUUUUUACAUCCUUGGUGGGGAUGUAAAUUAGUUCCACCACUAUGGAAAGUAGUUUGGAGGUUUCGGAGGUUUUUCAAAUGACUUAAAACAGAACUACCAUUUAAACCAACAAUCCCGUUUCUGGGUAUAUAUCCAAAAGAAAACAAAUCGUCCACCCAAAAGACACAUGCACUGGCAAGUUCAUCACAACAGUAUUCACAAUAGCAAAGACAUAGAAUCAACCAAGGUGACUAUCAGCAGUGGACUGGAUAAAGAAAAUGUGGUGCAUGUAUGCCAUGAAAUCGUAUGAACCUGUAAAAAGAAGAAAAUCUAUCUUCUGCAGCGACAUGGAUGCAGCUGGAGGCUGUUAUCUUAAGUCGAUCAUGGGAGGAACAGAAAACCAAAUACUCCUUGUUCUCAUUUAUAAGUGAGAGCUAAACAUUGGGUACUCAGGUACAUAAAGAUGGCAACAGUUGAAACCCCGACUAAUAGACGGGGGAGAGAAAGAGUGAGGGAAGGGUUGAGAAGCUACCUAUUGGGUAUUAUACUCAGUACCUGAGUGAUGGAAUUAGUUGUACCGCAAACCUAAGCGUUACACAAUGUACCCAGUUAACCAAUCUGCACAUAUACUCCCAGAAACUAAAGGAAACGUUCAAAAAUAAAUAUUCAUUUUUAAAUUUGGAAAAAUAAAUAAAUAAAAUGGCUUGUCUUUGAGGCAAUGAAAUUACUGGACAUAUGAUCAGUGCUCAGUAAACUUUAGAUGACUGUGGUAUAUAGGAAGGCAGAAUAAUGGUCCUCAAUGAUGUCUGAGUCCUGAUCCCUGAAUAUAUCUGUGCAUAUAUCAGAGUCAUAGCAAGGGGGAAUUAACUUAGCUGAUAGAAUUAAAGUUGCUCACCAUCUGACUUUAACAUAGGGAGAUUAUCUCGAAUCAUCCAGGUGGGUUCAGUGUAAUCAAGAGAGUCCCUGAAAUUGAAAGAGUGGAGGGGGUAAGGGGUCAGAGUCAUCUGCUAUGAGAAGGACUUCAUUUGCUCUAGCUGGUUUCAAAGAUGGAAGAAAGUGCCUGCCAACCAGGAAAUACAAGUCACCUUUAGAACCUGGAAAAGGCGAGGGAACAGAUAGUCCCGUAGAACCUUCAGAAACCCCGUAAACAACAUAAUCUUAGCCCGGUAAGACUCAUGCAGACUUCUGUAGGUUUCCAUGAUAAAUGUGUUGUUUAAGCUGGUAUAUUGUAGCAAUUUGUUAUAACAGCAACAGAAAACAAAUACACAUGAUAGUUAUUUAACAGAAAACUAACACACCUACUCCAAUCUGGAUUCAGGUCUAAUUACUCUACUGAAACCGUUCUUUUGAAAGUCACCAGUUUAUCUCCAUGUUGUGAAAUUCUGCACAUUUUCAGUCUUCAUUUUACCUUUCAAAAGCACUUCACGUUGUUAACUAUUCCCCCUUUUCCUCCUUAAAAUACUUGCUAUCUUUGCCUUCCAUGGUCUAUCACUUCUCUGCUUUCUUUUGACCUUCCUGACCUCUUUCUCAGUCCCUUUUCCAGCUCAUUCCAAUCCAUCUCAAUUAAACAUUUUAGAGCCCUCUCCUCUUCUUGCUCUGGAACUCUCGUCUGUGGUCAUUGCUUCUAUUGAUGCUCCUUCUAGAGAGCAUGCAAAUUUUCAUCUUCCUCUGGGGCUCACUUCUGAGUUGUACCCAGAUCACCCAUUGCCUACUUGAAUUGCUUUU